AUGCAUGAAACUGUCCCUUCAACACAGCAAAAGAAUUCCAGCAAACAACAGAAACCAAGGAGUAUCUUCCAUAUGGAGGCCAAUCAGAAGACACAUGAAUCCUCAGGGCCCAGAAGGAUCCCCAAGGAAGAUGUUAAGACCUCUAUAUCUUUCAGAACAAAAUUAACACAGCUCCAGCCCAUGGGCAAGUCAGAGACAGGAGUGGCGUCUGUAGAGUGGAAGACAGCAGAGGCUGCCGCUGAGCGUCCUGCAGCCUUUGCUCUGGCUGCUUACAGCUCUCCACUUUCUCUGGACCUUGUCACUUCAGCAUGA
rnacentral:lncRNA from 1 species